GAAGGAAUUUUGAACCCAGCCAUGCCGGUUCCAGGAUGAUUCCCCUAUGGGUUGUAAAUUGCUUUUGUCGGGGAAUAAACCUACGUUUGUGAACGUAGCUGAAUGUACCCGAAGAAUAAGGAUCGGCUAACUCCGUGCCAGCAGCCGCGGUAAUACGGAGGAUCCAAGCGUUAUCCGGAUUUAUUGGGUUUAAAGGGUGCGUAGGCGGUUCUUUAAGUCAGAGGUGAAAGACGGCAGCUUAACUGUCGCAGUGCCUUUGAUACUGAAGAACUUGAAUUGGGUUGAGGAAUGCGGAAUGAGACAAGUAGCGGUGAAAUGCAUAGAUAUGUCUCAGAACCCCGAUUGCGAAGGCAGCAUUCCAAGCCUCUAUUGACGCUGAUGCACGAAAGCGUGGGGAUCGAACAGGAUUAGAUACCCUGGUAGUCCACGCCCUAAACGAUGAUAACUCGAUGUUGGCGAUAGACAGUCAGCGUCCCAGCGAAAGCGUUAAGUUAUCCACCUGGGGAGUACGCCCGCAAGGGUGAAACUCAAAGGAAUUGACGGGGGCCCGCACAAGCGGAGGAGCAUGUGGUUUAAUUCGAUGAUACGCGAGGAACCUUACCCGGGCUUGAAAGUUAGUGAAUGAUCCAGAGACGGAUCAGUCCUUCGGGACACGAAACUAGGUGCUGCAUGGCUGUCGUCAGCUCGUGCCGUGAGGUGUUGGGUUAAGUCCCGCAACGAGCGCAACCCCUAUGUUUAGUUGCCAGCACAUAAUGGUGGGGACUCUAAACAGACUGCCUGCGCAAGCAGAGAGGAAGGUGGGGACGACGUCAAGUCAUCAUGGCCCUUACGUCCGGGGCUACACACGUGCUACAAUGGUCGGUACAGCGGGCAGCUACACAGUAAUGUGAUGCCAAUCUCUGAAAGCCGAUCACAGUUCGGAUUGAGGUCUGCAACUCGACCUCAUGAAGUUGGAUUCGCUAGUAAUCGCGUAUCAGCAAUGACGCGGUGAAUACGUUCCCGGGCCUUGUACACACCGCCCGUCAAGCCAUGAAAGUUGGGGGUGCCUAAAGCAUGUAACCGCAAGGAGCGUGUUAGGGCAAAACCGAUAAUUGGGGCU
rnacentral:rRNA from 1 species